AUUGAACGCUGGCGGCGUGCUUAACACAUGCAAGUCGUGCGGUAACAGGCGUAGCAAUACGUGCUGACGAGCGGCGAACGGGUGCGUAAUACAUGGGAAUCUGCCCUUUAGUGGGGAAUAACCCGGCGAAAGCCGGGCUAAUGCCGCAUAAGAUCUUCGGAUGAAAGCGGGGGAUCGUAAGACCUCGCGCUGAUGGAUGAGCCCAUGUCGGAUUAGCUAGNGGUGAGGUAACGGCUCACCAAGGCGACGAUCCGUAGCUGGUCUGAGAGGACGGCCAGCCACACUGGGACUGAGACACGGCCCAGACUCCUACGGGAGGCAGCAGUGGGGAAUAUUGGACAAUGGGGAAACCCUGAUCCAGCGACGCCGCGUGUGUGAAGAAGGCC
rnacentral:rRNA from 1 species